rnacentral:rRNA from 1 species
UGAACGCUGGCGGUAGGCCUAACACAUGCACGUCGCACGGCAGCACAGUAAGAGCUUGCUCUUACGGGUGGCGAGUGGCGGACGGGUGAGGAAUACAUCGGAAUCUACUUUUUCGUGGGGGAUAACGUAGGGAAACUUACGCUAAUACCGCAUACGACCUACGGGUGAAAGCAGGGGAUCUUCGGACCUUGCGCGAUUGAAUGAGCCGAUGUCGGAUUAGCUAGUUGGCGGGGUAAAGGCCCACCAAGGCGACGAUCCGUAGCUGGUCUGAGAGGAUGAUCAGCCACACUGGAACUGAGACACGGUCCAGACUCCUACGGGAGGCAGCAGUGGGGAAUAUUGGACAAUGGGCGCAAGCCUGAUCCAGCCAUACCGCGUGGGUGAAGAAGGCCUUCGGGUUGUAAAGCCCUUUUGUUGGGAAAGAAAAGCAGCAGGUUAAUACCCCGCUGUUCUGACGGUACCCAAAGAAUAAGCACCGGCUAACUUCGUG